GACAGAGGUUGCAAACGUUGUUCGGAAUUACUGGGCAUAAAGCGCUCGUAGGCGGUCCGUUAAGUCAUGUGUGAAAUCCCCCGGCUCAACCGGGGAAUUGCGCCUGAUACUGGCGGGCUAGAGGUCGAUAGGGGUGAGCGGAACUCCAGGUGGAGCGGUGAAAUGCGUAGAUAUCUGGAGGAACACCGGUGGCGAAGGCGGCAUCCUGGACCGGCAUUGACGCUGAGGCGCGAAAGCCAGGGGAGCAAACGGG
rnacentral:rRNA from 1 species